rnacentral:rRNA from 1 species
GACCUCGGAUCAGGUAGGGAUACCCGCUGAACUUAAGCAUAUCAAUAAGCGGAGGAAAAGAAACCAACAGGGAUUGCCCUAGUAACGGCGAGUGAAGCGGCAUCAGCUCAAAUUUGAAAUCUGGCUCUUUCAGGGUCCGAGUUGUAAUUUGCAGAGGGCGCUUUGGCGUUGGCAGCGGUCCAAGUUCCUUGGAACAGGACGUCACAGAGGGUGAGAAUCCCGUACGUGGUCGCUGGCCUUCGCCGUGUAAAGCCCCUUCGACGAGUCGAGUUGUUUGGGAAUGCAGCUCUAAAUGGGAGGUAAAUUUCUUCUAAAGCUAAAUACUGGCCAGAGACCGAUAGCGCACAAGUAGAGUGAUCGAAAGAUGAAAAGCACUUUGGAAAGAGAGUCAAAUAGCACGUGAAAUUGUUGAAAGGGAAGCGCUUGCAGCCAGACUUGCCUGUAGUUGCUCAUCCGGGCUUUUGCCCGGUGCACUCUUCUAUAGGCAGGCCAGCAUCAGUUUGGGCGGUUGGAUAAAGGUCUCUGUCAUGUACCUCCUUUCGGGGAGGCCUUAUAGGGGAGACGACAUGCAACCAGCCUGGACUGAGGUCCGCGCAUCUGCUAGGAUGCUGGCGUAAUGGCUGUAAGCGGCCCGUCUUGGAACACGGACCAAGGAGUCUAA